ensembl:lncRNA
AUAAAAAUGUUCCGCCCCUAAUGAGCAUUUGAGCAGCCAAUCAGAAUCAUCUAUGUCAUGUGAUCAUGAGUACAGCAGCGGAUUGUUCUAGUGAGAGUUUCGAAGCACCAUGGAUGAUGAAUUUGAAGGUAAAUGCACCUUUCAAUUGUUUGCCAACCGCCAAUACGACUGUCAGAAAGAAAGAAAGAAGAAAGAGUUUGAAGGUACCAGCUCUCAGAUGGUGAUCUUUUCUAAAAGCGAUAGGACAGGUGUGGAGGAGAGUGAAGCAAGAGAAUGGGUUCCUAAGUCUGUGAGCUCAUCUGAAGAUGAUGGGACAGAUGACUGGAAACCCACACAGGAUGAAUCUGAAGGCUAUUCAGAAGAGGAGGAAGAACAAGAACGUAAAAGGAUUCCUAAGGUAGCCAUGAAAAACAAAACUGGGUGUCCUAUGCCACAAAGAGAGGUGAAAUUCAUCCUCAGUUUCACUGCUUCCACAAUCAAUCCAUCAAAAAUUAGCCAAACAUAUUGUUGUCUUCUCUUAAAACAGAUGGUGGCAGCAUCUGAAGAGGAUGGGACACAUGAUAGCAGACCCACACAAGAUGAAUCUAAAGAUGAUUCAAAGGAUGAAGCAGAACAUUUGGGACAAAUGAUUCACAAAGUGGCCAUGGAAAAGAUGCAGCAGGCCUAUGUAAGCCAAGACAAAGCAAUGACUGUGAAUAAGAGUUCAGAAAAAAGGGUGAUUCACCAAACCAGAUGCUUGAAGAGGCUCACUUUUCAUCAGUCAACUCUCUUUGAAGACACGAUACCAAGAUCUGAUAACAACAAGAAAGACCAAAGUGGAAUGUCAUCUGCAGCAAUAAUAACCUCAGAACAACUGGAGGAGAAAGAGAUACAAGAAGAGUCUCUGGAGAAGAUGAAGAGUGAAGACAAAGAAGGGAAGAGAAAAGAAAAAGUACAGCAGGAGCCUCUGGAGAAGAUGAGCGGCAAAAGGCAAAGGAAGGAAGAAAAGAUACAGGCAGAGCCUCUGGAGAAGAUGAGCGGCAAAAGGCAAAGGAAGGAAGAAAAGAUACAGGCAGAGCCUCUGGAGAAGAUGAGCGGCAAAAGGCAAAGGAAGGAAGAAAAGAUACAGGCAGAGCCUCUGGAGAAGAUGAAGAGUGAAGCCAAAGUAGGAAAGAGAAAAGAAAAAGUACAGCAGGAGCCUCUGGAGAAGAUGAGCGGCAAAAGGCAAAGGAAGGAAGAAAAGAUACAGGCAGAGCCUCUGGAGAAGAUGAGCGGCAAAAGGCAAAGGAAGGAAGAAAAGAUACAGGCAGAGCCUCUGGAGAAGAUGAGCGGCAAAAGGCAAAGGAAGGAAGAAAAGAUACAGGCAGAGCCUCUGGAGAAGAUGAGCGGCAAAAGGCAAAGGAAGGAAGAAAAGAUACAGGCAGAGCCUCUGGAGAAGAUGAAGAGUGAAGCCAAAGUAGGAAAGAGAAAAGAAAAAGUACAGCAGGAGCCUCAGGAGAAGAUGAGUGAAGGGGGAAAGGACUCUGAAAAUAAGGUGCAAUUUAUUCCAUUGCUCCCAGUAAGCCCAAGAAAUGCCUUAUUUGAGGGCUUUUGCAUUGUAUUUGUUUUUGAAGAUUCCACUUUUUUUAUUACAUAAAAGAGUUGUUAAUAAAAAGUGAUCAUCUAAUACUGUGUCCAAUGAGUUACUGUCACGUUUAUUUUCUGGAAUCACUGGUGCUCUCAGACUUGACAUUAUAUAAUUCCACCAUAUGUGAGAUCAGUCAAAUUAAGAAAGGAGACAUGCUUCUUGAAGAAGUAAAAGUCAAAGCUUAAGAUAUAAUGUCAGUAUGUAAAUGUUGAAGUUUUGGGGUAUGUUGUACUAUACAGUCAAACCAUUUGAUGCCAUUUGGUCCUAUAUCUACACAAGUUUCAGUUGUAAAAUCAUAAGGCUAAUAAGUUCACAUAAACUUCAUAACUUAAUCAGAAUGUACAUAGAGGUCCUACCACUGGGGGAAAGACCAAGCACCACAAUCUACCACAUUUUCUGAACCACUUGCUCUCAUCCACAUAGGGAGCCGCAUUGAACUUGUUAAUCUAAUAAAAGAAAAAGUGACCUCAAUUUUGCAGCGGUUUGUUCUCCCCCCUGCCUGACUUUAAAUGGUAAAUGGCCUGCAUUUGUAUAGCGCUUUUCUAGUCCUUAAGGACCCCAAAGUGCUUUACACUACAUUCAGUCAUUCACACACUGGCGAUAGC